GACCUUUAUUUGGUGAAGUGGCGACAAGGAGCCAAAAGGCAGGUGGCCGGUCUAUGAAGCCUCCAUCAUCAAGCUAGCAGAAAUCCCACCUCUCCUUCUGGCUACAGAGUACUUACUUACCAAGCCCAUGAAAUCGAAUGCAGAUCUUCCUGAUGUGAGAUUUACAUAAAUAUGUCAAAGUCUCAAC